rnacentral:rRNA from 1 species
AUUGAACGCUGGCGGCAGGCCUAACACAUGCAAGUCGAACGAGUGGCGGACGGGUGAGUAAUGUCUGGGAAUCUGCCUGAUGGAGGGGGAUAACUACUGGAAACGGUAGCUAAUACCGCAUACCAUCGGAUGUGCCCAAAUGGGAUUAGCUAGUAGGGGGGGUAAAGGCUCACCUAGGCGACGAUCCCUAGCUGGUCUGAGAGGAUGAACAGCCACACUGGAACUGAGACACGGUCCAGACUCCUACGGGAGGCAGCAGUGGGGAAUAUUGCACAAUGGGCGAAAGCCUGAUGCAGCCAUGCCGCGUGUAUGAAGAAGGCCUUCGGGUUGUAAAGUACUUUCAGCGGGGAGGCGUUACCCGCAGAAGAAGCACCGGCUAACUCCGUGCCAGCAGCCGCGGUAAUAC